rnacentral:rRNA from 1 species
AUUGAACGCUGGCGGCAGGCUUAACACAUGCAAGUCGAGCGGAGAUGAGGUGCUUGCACCUUAUCUUAGCGGCGGACGGGUGAGUAAUGCUUAGGAAUCUGCCUAUCAGUGGGGGACAACAUUCCGAAAGGAAUGCUAAUACCGCAUACGUCCUACGGGAGAAAGCAGGGGAUCUUCGGACCUUGCGCUAAUAGAUGAGCCUAAGUCGGAUUGGCUAGUUGGUGGGGUAAAGGCCUACCAAGGCGACGAUCUGUAGCGGGUCUGAGAGGAUGAUCCGCCAAACUGGGACGGAGACACGGCCCAGACUCCUACGGGAGGCAGCAGUGGGGAAUAUUGGACAAUGGGGGGAACCCUGAUCCAGCCAUGCCGCGUGUGUGAAGAAGGCCUUAUGGUUGUAAAGCACUUUAAGCGAGGAGGAGGCUACUGAGACUAAUACUCUUGGAUAGUGGACGUUACUCGCAGAAUAAGCACCGGCUAACUCUGUGCCAGCCGCCGCCGUAACAC